CUUGGCUCAGUACUGCCCCCAAUCCAAACAAAGAAGCGUCUGUGUGGACGAGAGAGAAAGUGUUUAGUUGGAUCAGGGGCGGCAAGUACAGGUGAAUUCACAAGAGACGUUUUUAGUUGCUGGAAUGCCUGCUCACACUCUGGGGUCCAGACUACUAUCUUAGGGAGAUUCUUGCGGGUCAAAUCG